CAGGACAGGGAUGCUGUUUGCUCAGAUCUCAUGUCUAUAAGAAGAUUAAUAGUGCUACGACUAAUGGGAUCAUGAUUUUAACAGGCGAUUGCAACCAGCUUCAGUAGAAGUGCAUCAUGAAUUUUACUUCAUGGAGCUGAACUCAGGUUGGUGAGUUGCCUCUAGGGCAUCUUCUAGACUCCACUUAGUGCAACUUCAGAUUCCUCUUCAGUAACCAUCGCAUUGUUGAAGCACUGUUGCUACCUGGAGUGCUGGCCUAGUUCUGCCAGCAAUCCCACCUGCUGCUGCUAUUCCUCAUCAUCUGUCCUAAAGAAAGCAAGUGUAUUUAUCUUCAAAGCCUGGGCAGAUUUAUGUUAACUGAACAGACAAGGCAUUUGGAAUGACCUCCACACGAUUCAGGUACCAGUUAAAACUGAUUUGGCCAGUUCGUGUACCCCACACCUGAUGUGCCAGCACAGAAGACUCUUAAGAGGAAAACAUAGCAGCAAACACCAGGAUCUGUCCUAAGUGAUGUCAGAGAAGGAAUAUAUUUGUGUAAACUGCACUGAUGGAACAAAUCUUUCUGGAAAAUUUGGGGCAUGAACUUGGAGUUGAAGAUUAAUAUAAUUAAGAAAUAUCAUCAGUAUAUUCCAGGUGGGAAGAAUUAAAAAAACAAGUGCAGCAAAUGUUUACUGCAAGCUGUCUGAGGACCAGCUGCCGUUCUAGCACUGGGAAUACAGUGUGAACAAGGCUGGGUUUAUGGAGCUGAUGUUCUUUUAGGAAGAAGCUGCCCAGAAAAUAGGGGCAACGGAGAACAGAAAGAUGAAACAAACUAUCCUGGUAAUAAUAUCAUGUGAAUACCUAGAUCGAGCUAUUCUUGAAGAGGAGACAUGCUCAGGCUUUUUAGUUACAAAAGCCAACACAUUCCCCUUUCUGACUCAAACCAGUUCAAAUUCUUCGUCACAAGAGUC
rnacentral:lncRNA from 1 species